CCUACGGGAGGCAGCAGUGGGGAAUAUUGGACAAUGGGCGAAAGCCUGAUCCAGCCAUGCCGCGUGUGUGAAGAAGGCCUUCGGGUUGUAAAGCACUUUCAGUGGGGAAGAAAGCCUUGGGGCUAAUACCCUCGAGGAAGGACAUCACCCACAGAAGAAGCACCGGCUAACUCCGUGCCAGCAGCCGCGGUAAUACGGAGGGUGCGGGCGUUAAUCGGAAUUACUGGGCGUAAAGCGCGCGUAGGCGGUCUGAUAAGCCGGUUGUGAAAGCCCCGGGCUCAACCUGGGAACGGCAUCCGGAACUGUCAGGCUAGAGUGCAGGAGAGGAAGGUAGAAUUCCCGGUGUAGCGGUGAAAUGCGUAGAUAUCGGGAGGAAUACCAGUGGCGAAGGCGGCCUUCUGGACUGACACUGACGCUGAGGUGCGAAAGCGUGGGUAGCAAACAGGAUUAGAUACCCCGGUAGUC
rnacentral:rRNA from 1 species